UCUUCGAUGGUCUAGUGGUGAUGAUUUCCGCUUGUCAUCAGCGUCACAAGCGCAAUGCCAAGCCGCGGGAGACCGGGGUUCGAUUCCCCGUCGGAGAG